rnacentral:rRNA from 1 species
AGCGAACGCUGGCGGCAGGCCUAACACAUGCAAGUCGAACGAACCUUUCGGGGUUAGUGGCGGACGGGUGUGUAACACGUGGGAACGUGCCCUUAGGUUCGGCCUAACUCAGGGAAACUUGUGCUAAUACCGAAUGUGCCCUUCGGGGGAAAGAUUUAUCGCCUUUAGAGCGGCCCGCGUCUGAUUAGCUAGUUGGUUGAGGUAAUGGUGCAUCAAGGCGACGAUCAGUAGCUGGUCUGAGAGGAUGAUCAGCCACAUUGGGACUGAGACACGGCCCAAACUCCUACGGGAUGCAGCAGUGGGGAAUCUUGCGCAAUGGGCGAAAGCCUGACGCAGCCAUGCCGCGUGAAUGAUGAAAGUCGUAGGAUUGUAAAAUUCUUUCACCGGGGACGAUAAUGACGGUACCCAGAGAAGAAGCCCCGGCUAACUUCGUG